rnacentral:rRNA from 1 species
AAUACCGCAUACGCCCUUCGGGGGAAAGCAGGGGAUCUUCGGACCUUGCGCUAUUGGAUGUGCCUAUGUCGGAUUAGCUAGUUGGUGGGGUAAGAGCCUACCAAGGCGACGAUCCGUAGCUGGUCUGAGAGGAUGAUCAGCCACAUCGGGACUGAGACACGGCCCGAACUCCUACGGGAGGCAGCAGUGGGGAAUAUUGGACAAUGGGGGCAACCCUGAUCCAGCCAUGCCGCGUGUGUGAAGAAGGCUUUCGGGUUGUAAAGCACUUUCAGUGAGGAGGAAAACCUUAAGUUUAAUACGCUUGAGGCUUGACGUUACUCACAGAAGAAGCACCGGCUAACUCCGUGCCAGCAGCCGCGGUAAUACGGAGGGUGCAAGCGUUAAUCGGAAUUACUGGGCGUAAAGCGCGCGUAGGUGGUUUGAUAAGCGAGAUGUGAAAGCCCCGGGCUCAACCUGGGAACGGCAUUUCGAACUGUCAGGCUAGAGUAUGGUAGAGGAGUG